rnacentral:rRNA from 1 species
GUCACGGCGAGACGAGCCGUUUAUCAUUACGAUAGGUGUCAAGUGGAAGUGCAGUGAUGUAUGCAGCUGAGGCAUCCUAACAGACCGAGAGAUUUGAACCUUG